rnacentral:rRNA from 1 species
AACUGCGAGUGAAGCGGGAAAAGCUCAAAAUUUAAAAUCUGGUAGUCUCUGGCUGCCCGAGUUGUAAUCUAGAGAAGCAUUAUCCGCGCUGGACCGUGUAUAAGUGUUCUGGAAUGGACCAUCAUAGAGGGUGAGAAUCCCGUCUUUGACACGGACUCCCAGGGCUUUGUGAUGUGCUCUCAAAGAGUCGAGUUGUUUGGGAAUGCAGCUCUAAAUGGGUGGUAAAUUCCAUCUAAAGCUAAAUAUUGGCGAGAGACCGAUAGCGAACAAGUACCGUGAGGGAAAGAUGAAAAGAACUUUGGAAAGAGAGUUAAACAGUACGUGAAAUUGCUGAAAGGGAAACGCUUGAAGUCAGUCGCGUUGGCUGGGGAUCAACCUUGCUUUUGCUUGGCUUACUUCCCAGUUGACGGGUCAGCAUCAGUUUUGACCGGUGGAUAAAGGCUAGGGGAAUGUGGCACCUACGGGUGUGUUAUAGCCCUUGGUCAUAUACACUGGUUGGGACUGAGGAACUCAGCACUUGUGCUUAGGAUGCUGGCAUAAUGGCUUUAAGCGACCCGUCUUGAAACACGGACCAAGGAGUCUAACAUGCCCGCGAGUGUUUGGGUGGAAAACCCGAGCGCGUAAUGAAAGUGAAAGUUGAGAUCCCUGUCGUGGGGAGCAUCGACGCCCGGACCAGACCUUUUGUGACGGAUCCGCGGUAGAGCGUGUAUGUUGGGACCCGAAAGAUGGUGAACUAUGCCUGAAUAGGGUGAAGCCAGAGGAAACUCUGGUUGGAGGCUCGUAGCGAUUCUGACGUGCAAAUCGAUCGUCGAAUUUGGGGUAUAA